AGUGAACGCUGGCGGUAGGCCUAACACAUGCAAGUCGAACGGCAGCACAGUAAGAGCUUGCUCUUACGGGUGGCGAGUGGCGGACGGGUGAGGAAUACAUCGGAAUCUACUUUUUCGUGGGGGAUAACGUAGGGAAACUUCCGCUAAUACCGCAUACGACCUACGGGUGGAAGUAGGGGAUCUUCGGACCUUGCGCGAUUGAAUGAGCCGAUGUCGGAUUAGCUAGUUGGCGGGGUAAAGGCCCACCAAGGCGACGAACCGAAGCUGGACUGAGAGGAUGAUCAGCCACACUGGAACUGAGACACGGUCCAGACUCCUACGGGAGGCAGCAGUGGGGAAUAUUGGACAAUGGACGCAAGCCUGAUCCAGCCAUGCCGCGUGAGUGAAGAAGGCCUUCGGGUUGUAAAGCCCUUUUGUUGGGAAAGAAAAGCAGCAGGUUAAUACCCCGCUGUUCUGACGGUACCCAAAGAAUAAGCACCGGCUAACUUCGUG
rnacentral:rRNA from 1 species